GUGGCGGACGGGUGAGUAAUGUCUGGGAAGCUGCCUGAUGGAGGGGGAUAACUACUGGAAACGGUAGCUAAUACCGCAUAAUGUCGCAAGACCAAAGAGGGGGACCUUCGGGCCUCUUGCCAUCGGAUGUGCCCAGAUGGGAUUAGCUUGUUGGUGGGGUAACGGCUCACCAAGGCGACGAUCCCUAGCUGGUCUGAGAGGAUGACCAGCCACACUGGAACUGAGACACGGUCCAGACUCCUACGGGAGGCAGCAGUGGGGAAUAUUGCACAAUGGGCGCAAGCCUGAUGCAGCCAUGCCGCGUGUAUGAAGAAGGCCUUCGGGUUGUAAAGUACUUUCAGCGGGGAGGAAGGGAGUAAGUAAUACCUUUGCUCAUUGACGUACCCGCAGAAGAAGCACCGGUAACUCGUGCCAGCAGCCGGUAAUACGAGGGUGCAAGCGUAUCGAUUACUGGCGUAAAGCGAGAGGCGGUUGUAAUCAAUUGAAUCCGGCUACUGAACUUGAUUAUUGAGC
rnacentral:rRNA from 2 species